rnacentral:lncRNA from 1 species
GGUUUCAAACCUGCAGUCUCACCUGGCAUGCCUAAGGGAGCCCUCAGACACAAACAAGUCACUUCUCCCCAUCCUGAAAAACAGAGUGAAGCCUCUGUCAGGCUGUUCUCCCCUGAAAAGAGGGAAAGGCGAGAAAAUCAGGGAGGGACCACCAGACCAGAUGUUUUAACCCCAGGGUGAAUGUUGUCACUAAGAAAUGUGGUGGUAACUGAUAAGGAUUGAAAGGGGGGUCAAAAGCCCCCAAAUUUAGUAUAAAUAACAGAGCAAAGGAACAGACAUUCAGCCAGCCAAAACAAGGAUGCACCCAAGCUGGAGAGUCUGAUGAGGAUCUGGACUGACAUCUCAUCACUUGUCAUCUUGUGCCUGAUCCUUACCGCUCUCCAACUCUACAGCCACAUCUUGACCCUGGUGAGAGCAGCAACUUCUCCCUGUUUCACCCUCUUCUCAGCCGGCCGUCAGCUCCAUUCCAGGAGAAGCCUGCCUUGGUUCCUGACCUGAUCACCACUGUCUGAGUGAGUGUGUAUCUGCUGGACAUAAAGCCUAAGGCUUCAGACUUUUGAACUUAGCAUGCAGAGGGAAUGUCUGUCAUUAGCCUGUCAUGAUUAAGUGUGUUUUCAGUGCUUAGAAUUAAUCUAGAAUCGUUUGCCGUGAAUUGAUUAUGUCUAUUGCAGUGCCUAGCAUGAACGAUGGUCGUCUUCUUUAUUCAGAACCUAUAGAGUGAAAUUUUAUUGAGUGAUUCUAGUGAAUAAAGCAUUGAAAAGGGCAGAAGUGCAGGGACAUUCUUUAUUUCUCCCCCUCGACUGCAUAUGUUGCAACUUUGCCCCUCGCGACAAGGAGGAAAUGGCUUUUGAAAUUCUAGAUCUCCAAGACACAAAAACUCAUGGGUUUUCCAAACUUACUGAAGAGGAUGUAACCUUGUACUUUUUGAAACUGUCCCCUGUUGUAGAGUCCUCACUUAAAUUCCAUGGGUCUCAUUUAGUAAGUGGUGUUACUUGCAUGAUUAAGAAAGAACUUGGGUUGGGGCUAUGGCUUAGUGGUAGAGCAUUGGUCCAGCUUGCACAAGGCCUUGAGUUCAAUCCCCAGCACUGCAAAAAGUAGAAAGAGUUCAGUCUAUCAACGUUGAUGCUACAAUGGAUUGUGCAUGCGGUGUGUGUGCACAUGCACACAUGUGUUUCAAACAUGAACUUCACUCACAUAAGUGUAAGUUAACAGGUGUAUAAGUUAACCUCAUUGUCCCUCCAGAAAGUGUCAGAAAGAGUUGAAAUAAUAGUAAAUCUAAAUAGCCUUUGAAGUUCAACCGUCUUAUACUUGAUAUUAAAAUAGUAAAAUGCAUGUUAAUAAAGAACUUAAUUCAACGGGUAGGCAUUAAAAAACCAUAGUUGUGAAUAAUAUUUAUGAAUGUGGGAAAAUAUUCACAGUGUAACAGUCAAAUAAAAUUGUGCCUAUGCAGGACCUAUAUAAAGGAAACAAAAGCAAUACAAUAAAAAAAUUUCUGAUAAACAUAAAAAUUAAAAUAACAAAAAUAUUACCACUUAAAUUGAUAAAUUGAAUAAUAAUACAAUGAAUAAUAAUACAAAAUUUUAGUUUUAUCUAGUGAAUCAUAAGUUCCAUAGAAUUUAUUUUUUUUUAUUUUUAUUUUUUAUUAGUUGCUCGAGACAAUACAAUGAUCUUGACAUAUCAUACAUUUGAUUCAAAUGGGGUAUUCUCAUUUUUCCACGUGUACAGAUUGCAGGAUCACAUUGGUUAUACAGCCACGUAUAUACAUACAAUACUAGUGUCUGUUGUAUUCUGCUGCCCUCCCUAUCCCCCCUCCCUUCCCCUCCCCCAUAUCACCUCUCUCUACCCAAUCUACUUUGACACAUUUCUCUCUCUCACUCUUUUUUCUUUCUUUCCACCUCACACCAACAUAUAUGUAUUUUGUAUAACGAUGAGGGUCUCCUUCCAUCUUCUGUGCAGGGUAAUUGCACAGGAGUUCUAUAGAAUUUCAAUGCCACUUUUUAAUUUAAAUGAAUGAUUAAAACUGUUACCUUGUGGGGUGCAGUGGCACACGCCUGUAAUCCCAGCGGGUCGGGAGCUGAGUCAGGAGGAUUUUGAGUUCAAAGCCAGCCUCAGCAAAAGUGAGGCUCUAAGCAACUCAGUGAGACCCUGUCUCUAAUUAAAAUACAAAAUAGGGCUGGGGAUGUGGCUCAGUGGUUUGAGUGUCCGUGAGUUCAGUCCCCAUUACCCUAAAAAAAAAUAAAUAAAAGUGGAACAAUCAAUAUAUCAAAUUUGUGACAAAGCCUCUCUGAAUAUGUAUAUUGCUUCUUAAAUAUCAGUUAUACCAUGGAAUUUAAAGUAUGUUUACAAGCAUUUUAUGUUGGCAUCCCCCCAUCAACACAAGGUAGUGAACUCAGGACCUUGUGCAUGCUGGGCAAGCACUCUGCCACUGAGCCACAUCCCCAGCCCUUCUUACUUUUAUUUUGAGAAGGGUCUUGCUAAGUUACCCAGGCUGGUCUUGACCUUGCCCUCCUCCUGCCUCGGCCUCCCCCACUGCAUCCAGCCCAGUUCAUAGCUUUGGAAAGUUGAUCCCAUUGAAAGAGUCUUUCAUAUGUAGGUUGUUUCCUAUUAGAUCAUCCACAACAGUGGACUCAGCCUCCCUUUUCCUUCAACACCAUUUCCUAAGAAAGGGGCCACCAUGAGCCAAAGUCAGCUGCCUUUGAAGCAAUUUAGUUGAUACUUUCAUAGUUCCUGGCCUUGAAAAGAGGCUGAAAGAAUUGGAGGUUUUCCUGAAGUUCAUAAUCAGCAGACAUUUCCAAAGUUUGUAUCCUCGUUUCAGCCUCAUCCUUAAGGUAGCGAGCCAGUUCAGCCAAGUAACUUCUUAUGUUGUAUUUCACCAUUUCUAAGACACUUUAGUGUCUCUGACCCUGGAAUGUGUCUUAGAGUCAGCGUUAAACUAUUUCAAAGUUCAACCCACAGUGUUUUCUUUCCUGUGGUACAUUGAUUACGAUGGGGUAUAUUGAGGUAUAUAGUUGCAAAUUCUUUUCAAGGUUAUCUCAGUUAACUCUCCUAAUAACCCUGUGAAAUAGGAGGAUAAAGUCUUAUUUCCAUGCCGUUCUUGAGGAAAUGCUCCGGAUGGAGGUUUCAUUUGGGGAGUUUGCUUCUGUGCCUACAGACUGGAGGUGCUGGGCCCCUCACCAAGCCUGUGUGGCUGAGCCAGCAGGUCCUCGUCCUCUACCUCAGAGUUUUCUUCAGCUGUCCUAUUGGUGAGGCAUUUUGUCUUUUAGGUAAGAAAUGUUUUCAGUAUGACAGCCAAAGAGGGAAGGAAGAGAUGGGUCCUUGUCCUGGUGGCUGUGGGGGAUGGGCAGGGAGCUGCAGGUGAGUGGGGUGACUCUGGACACAGAGGUGGUGGUGUGCAGAGGCCUGGCUGCCCCCCUGGGAGCCCGGGGCCCUGCUGCUGGCCUCACUUUCCCCCUCACUGAGCGUCUAGAGGUCUGGGCUCACAAACCUUGUGGUAAACCACAAAGCUUCUCAGCGUAAAGAAAGAAGAGCUCCAAGGCCUACAUCUGAGGACAGUGGGUAUUUUAAAAGGGUUAAGUCACCAUUGUAUUGUGUAUAAUAGUGAAAAAUUAGAAGAGCAAGUCCAAUCUGGCCCAGUUACAAAAACAGGAUAGCUGUCCAAUGUAAUAUUCUAUAGCUUGUGAAAAAAUCACUUACAUAAUAAGUAAUUACUUAAGUAAUUACUGUUAAAAAUGUGUCAGUACUCUUGAUUUUUUAAAGUCAUUUAUAUGUUAAGGAAAAUCUAGUAGACUAUACACUGUUAAGUGUUUAUGUGGGUUAGUAGGUUUGCCAAUCAUUUAAAUUUUCUUCUUUAGACGUUUCUUUAAAGUAUCCCUCGUGAACAUCUUGUUUGUGAUAUAUAUUCACAUGGAACUGAAAAACCAUAAGUUGCUUCAUACUGACACUUUCAAAGCAAAAGUAAUACACAUGAUAGUGCGUUGGUGUAAGAAAUCAUGGUUAGCAGUUACUGUUGUCUCUUUCCCAAAAUAUCUUUUCAGAAAUUUUGUGUCCAGCUAUCACCCUUAACCUUGUAAAAAGCUUCACCAAGACGUCAUGUUACAGCCGUGAGUUCGCACCUUGCCCUUCUUGCUUGGUUUUGCCCUCAGUGAUCUUGGGUUAGCAUAAGCAGAUUCCCCUCUGUUCUGGUACUGGUUGUCUAGUGUCCCUGUGUAUGCACAGACCUGAUUUUUGUUACCUGCUCCCUAUUGCUGAAUAUUUUUUGUUUGCAAAUUUGUGUCAUUUAUUUUAAAAAAAUGAACUUUUUGUACAUAGAUUGUUGAACUUUUGCAAAUAUAGCAAUAGGGGAAAUGUCUUGAAAUUGCUUGAAAUAUCUUGAAAUUGCUGCCAUACUAGGUUUAAAUGUCAAGUAUUGCCAAAUCACCUCCUCAAAGGUUGCAUCAGUUUAUGUCCCUCUGUACCACCCGUCCUUGCCCUGAGUAUUAUCAGACUUUACUGAUUGUCAUCUUGGUCCCUGAAACAUCUCUCCUAGUUUCACCUGCACUUUCUAAGUUAGGAGAGUGCAGACACCAUUUUUGUGUUCAUUGGCCAUUGCGCUUUCACUUUGGACAUCUGUCAGUUGAGGUGCUUUGCCCAUUUUUUUAAUUGGGUGGUUUCUUUUCCUUGUUGAUUGGGAUAAGCUUCUUGUAAGUUAAGGACAUGAGCCUUCUGUCUAUCAGAUAUAUUGACUUCGUUCUUAAUUUUUUUUUUCACACUAAAGUUUUAAAAUCCACAGAAGUUUUAAACCUUAAUAUAGCAAAUUUAUCAGUCCUAGAUCACUUCUGGUUUGUGUUUUGCUUAGAAAGCCUCCUUUUGAAGAUUAUAUAUUUCCCUCUAGGACUUCCAUGGUUUACUUUGUUCUGUUUAAACUAGGAACUGGAAUUCAAGCCCCUUUCAUCCCAGGCCUCAGAUGUCUUGCGUAUUUUAUUUUCCUGUGUAUAACUUAAAAACACAGUACUUUUCCCAAAUUAAAUAAUAACUGAUGGCAGCAAAUAAUGGAAGCAUUUCUGCAACUUGGGAUGAACCCUCAUUUCUUGGGAUUAAGCAUUUACAAAUUGCAAACUGUUGCUUUUAUUUUCCUGGUUAAUUAAAAUCUAAAUACCACUCAAAGUUCCAUUAAUAUCAUGGUUUUACUCUAUAGCAAUGUACUUUUUCCCUAUCCCUCUGGGCAUUUGAAUCUCUUUCCACAAGUGUCCAAAACCAUUUGCCUCUUGUAAAUAUAGAGCAUACUUAAUUUUAAAAAUUGAGUAUAUUUCAUUAUAUUAGAGAUUUAUAAAAGAUAAUGUUAUGCAUCUAAACUUGGGUUUCAUAAAUACAUCCAAAUGUAAUGCCUCCAGAUUGCCUCAGAACAGAUAAGCAGGUCUCUGGCUUUCUUCAUGGCUGGUUGUGUAUGCAGGUGUUCUGUGGGCAGUUGAAAGGAGAAGUGCGUGAAAUGUUGUAGGAGCCCAAACUGUGAGCUGGGGAGAGGCACAGGCUGGGCCAGUUUUUUCCCUUUUCAUAGUUUGGAUUUUUCUUUGAUGGUUUUGCUGUUGGGAAGGCCACCAAGUGGGUGAAUUUUUUUCCUUAUUGUCACGCAGUAGAUGAUGAUGAGCUCUGUGUUAGCCACCAGGGCACCACAGGCAGACAGUCACGUGUCCCAGAACCCUCUACUGGUCCUUGUGCUCAGAGCCUGUGUAUCUUGUGAGAUGCCAUUCAGACCACCACUGUUGGUCAGACUCAUGGCCACUCACUAGAAUCAUGAGAUGGCUGUGAGCAACACUAAGGAACAGUCAGUGUGCAUGUGAUGAUGGUACUGUGGCUACCUGUUGUAAGUCUUUAUCUUUUAGAAGUAUAUAGAAAAAAUUUUGCUUAAAUGGAAUUUCUUUUCUUUUUUCUUUUUUAUUAUUAUUUUUAUUUGUUCUACUUAGUUGUACAUGACAGCAGAAUGCAUUCCAAUUCACCGUACCAAAAAUGGAGUGCAACAUUUCAAUUUUCUGGUUGUACACGUUGUAGAGAGGUACCAUUUGUGCAGUAUUACAUGUACCUAGGGUAAUGAUGUCCAUCUGAUUUCACCAUCUUUCCUAGCCCCCAUAAGCCUUCCCCACUCUCCCCUUUUGCCCUAUUCAAAGUUUCUCCACUUUCCCAUGCCUGCCCCUCCAAUCAUAGAUCAGCAUCCGCUAAUCAGAGAAAACAUUUGGCCUUUAGUUUUUGGGGAUUGGUUUACUUUGCUUAGCAUAAUAUUCUCAACUCCAUCCAUUUACCUGCAAAUGCCAUACUUUUAUUCUUCUUUAAUGCUGAGUAAUAUUCCACUGUGUAUAUUACCACAGUUUCUUUAUUCAUCUAUUGAUGGGCAUCUAGGUUGGUUCCACUGUUUAGCUAUUGUGAAUUUAGCUAUUAAAAACACAGCCACACUGGUGUGGCUGUGUCACUAUAGUAUGCUGAUUUUCAGUCCUUUGGAUAUAGACUGUCCUCACCCUGUCGAUCCAGUUUACCACCAAGG